UGGGAUGUAACUCAGAGUUAGAGUGCUUGCUUAACAUAUGUAAUGCUCUGGGUUUGAUUCCUAGCAUCCUAA
rnacentral:tRNA from 1 species